GGGGGCAUAGCUCAGUUGGCAGAGCACCGCCCUUUUAAGGCGGGCGUCGAUGGUUC
rnacentral:tRNA from 1 species